rnacentral:rRNA from 1 species
UACGUAGGGGGCGAGCGUUAUCCGGAUUUACUGGGUGUAAAGGGAGCGCAGGCGGCGUGGCAAGUCAGAUGUGAAAACCCGGGGCCCAACCCCGGGACUGCAUUUGAAACUGCCAUGCUGGAGUGCUGGAGAGGCAAGUGGAAUUCCAAGUGUAGCGGUGAAAUGCGUAGAUAUUAGGAGGAACACCAGUGGCGGAGGCGGCUCUCUGGACUGUAACUGACGUUGAGGCUCGAAAGCGUGGGGAGCAA